CAGGCCUAACAAUGCAAGUCGAGCUGCAAGCGCACCUUCGGGUGCGUGGAAAGUGGCAGAGGGUGAGUAACGCGUGGGAACGUACCCUUCGGUUCGGAAUAACCCGGGGAACUCGGGCUAAUACCGGAUACGUCCGUAAGGAGAAAGAUUUAUCGCCGAGGAUCGGCCCGCGUCCGAUUAGCUUGUUGGUGGGGUGGGGGCCCACCAGGCGACGAUCGGUAGCUGGUCUGAGAGGAUGAUCAGCCACACUGGGACUAGACACGGCCCAGACUCCUACGGGAGGCAGCAGUGGGGAAUAUUGGACAUGGGCGCAAGCCUGAUCCAGCCAUGCCGCGUGAGUGAAGAAGGCCCUAGGUUGUAAAGCUCUUUCAGCGGGGAAGAUAAUGACGGUACCCGCAUAAGAGCCCCGGCUAACUUCGUGCCAGCAGCCG
rnacentral:rRNA from 1 species